ACGGCUACAUCACAUGGAAAUACCGGUUCCCGUACAAUCAUCAAAAUUAAACAACGUCGAGUCUGGUCAGUAUCUAGAUGGGUGACUGCUUGGGAAUACCAGGUGCUGUAAG